UCUCUUAUGGUAUAACGGUUUAAUACACGCACUGGUUAUCUGAGUGAGUUGAUUAUCUGAGUGAGAUCUGGGUUCGAUUCCCGGUGAGAGGA